rnacentral:rRNA from 1 species
CCUACGGGAGGCAGCAGUGGGGGAUAUUGCACAAUGGGCGAAAGCCUGAUGCAGCAACGCCGCGUGAGCGAUGAAGGCCUUCGGGGCGUAAAGCUCUGUCCUCAAGGAAGAUAAUGACGGUACUUGAGGAGGAAGCCCCGGCUAACUACGUGCCAGCAGCCGCGGUAAUACGUAGGGGGCUAGCGUUAUCCGGAAUUACUGGGCGUAAAGGGGGCGUAGGUGGUUUCUUAAGUCAGAGGUGAAAGGCUACGGCUCAACCGUAGUAAGCCUUUGAAACUGGGGAACUUGAGUGCAGGAGAGGCGAGUGGAAUUCCUAGUGUAGCGGUGAAAUGCGUAGAUAUUAGGAGGAACACCAGUUGCGAAGGCGGCUCUCUGGACUGUAACUGACACUGAGGCACGAAAGCGUGGGGAGCAAACAGGAUUAGAUACCCUAGUAGUC